GACAUAAUGCAACUAGCACAAUCUAAUAAUCACCACCACCAGAAAGAAAAACCUCUAAGCUUCAGGUUAUCAGUAGCCGUACCCCAAACCGACACAGGUGGGUGGGAUGAGAAUUCUAAGGUGCUUGAGAGAACUCGGCUGAAGGAACUAGGCAAAAUGAUACCGUAACUUCGGGAGAAGGUAUGCCUCUUGUAAGUGUAAGCCCUCGCGGCUGAAGCUCAAGGAGGUUGCAAUAAAAUGGUGGCUGCGACUGUUUAGCAAAAACAUAGCACUCUGCAAACACGAAAGUGGACGUAUAGGGUGUCACGCCUGCCCGGUGCUGGAAGGUUAAUUGAUGGGGUUAGCGUAAGCGAAGCUCUUGAUCGAAGCCCCAGUAAACGGCGGCCGUAACAAUAACGGUCCUAAGGUAGCGAAAUUCCUUGUCGGGUAAGUUCCGACCUGCACGAAUGGCGUAACGAUGGCCACACUGUCUCCAGCCGAGACUCAGUGAAAUUGAAAUUGCGGUGAAGAUGCCGUAUACCCGUGGCUAGACGGAAAGACCCCGUGAACCUUUACUAUAGCUUGACACUGGACUUUGAAUCAAUUUGUGUAGGAUAGGUGGGAGACUUUGAAGCCGCAACCUAGUUGUGGUGGAGUCAUCCUUGAAAUACCACCCUGGUUUAUUUGAAGUUCUAACCUAGAUCCAUUAUCUGGAUUGGGGACAGUGUCUGGUGGGUAGUUUGACUGGGGCGGUCUCCUCCUAAAGCGUAACGGAGGAGCACGAAGGUACCCUCAGCCUGGUCAGAAAUCAGGCAUUGAGUGCAAUGGCAUAAGGGUGCUUGACUGCGAGUCAGACACGACGAGCAGGUACGAAAGUAGGUCAUAGUGAUCCGGUGGUUUCUGUAUGGAAGGGCCAUCGCUCAACGGAUAAAAGGUACUCCGGGGAUAACAGGCUGAUACCGCCCAAGAGUUCAUAUCGACGGCGGUGUUUGGCACCUCGAUGUCGGCUCAUCACAUCCUGGGGCUGAAGCAGGUCCCAAGGGUAUGGCUGUUCGCCAUUUAAAGUGGUACGCGAGCUGGGUUCAGAACGUCGUGAUACAGUUCGGUCCCUAUCUGCCAUGGGCGUUUGAGAUUUGAGGGAAGCUGCUCCUAGUACGAGAGGACCGGAGUGGACGCACCACUGGUGUUCGGGUUGUCAUGCCAAUGGCAUUGCCCGGUAGCUACGUGCGGACAGGAUAACCGCUGAAAGCAUCUAAGCGGGAAGCCCCUCCCAAGAUGAGAUCUCACUGGAACUUUAAGUUCCCUAAAGGGCUGUUGAAGACUACAACGUUGAUAGGCAUGGUGUGGAAGUUCAGUAAUGAAUGUAGCUAACAUGUACUAAUUGCCCGUGAGGCUUGACC
rnacentral:rRNA from 1 species